rnacentral:rRNA from 37 species
AAAACGACUCUCGGCAACGGAUAUCUCGGCUCUCGCAUCGAUGAAGAACGUAGCGAAAUGCGAUACUUGGUGUGAAUUGCAGAAUCCCGUGAACCAUCGAGUCUUUGAACGCAAGUUGCGCCCGAAGCCUUCUGGCCGAGGGCACGUCUGCCUGGGCGUCACGC